rnacentral:rRNA from 1 species
GAUGGGAGCUUGCUCCCUGAUGUUAGCGGCGGACGGGUGAGUAACACGUGGGUAACCUGCCUGUAAGACUGGGAUAACUCCGGGAAACCGGGGCUAAUACCGGAUGCUUGUUUGAACCGCAUGGUUCAAACAUAAAAGGUGGCUUCGGCUACCACUUACAGAUGGACCCGCGGCGCAUUAGCUAGUUGGUGAGGUAAUGGCUCACCAAGGCGACGAUGCGUAGCCGACCUGAGAGGGUGAUCGGCCACACUGGGACUGAGACACGGCCCAGACUCCUACGGGAGGCAGCAGUAGGGAAUCUUCCGCAAUGGACGAAAGUCUGACGGAGCAACGCCGCGUGAGUGAUGAAGGUUUUCGGAUCGUAAAGCUCUGUUGUUAGGGAAGAACAAGUACCGUUCGAAUAGGGCGGCACCUUGACGGUACCUAACCAGAAAGCCACGGCUAACUACGUGCCAGCAGCCGCGGUAAUACGUAGGUGGCAAGCGUUGUCCGGAAUUAUUGGGCGUAAAGGGCUCGCAGGCGGUUCCUUAAGUCUGAUGUGAAAGCCCCCGGCUCAACCGGGGAGGGUCAUUGGAAACUGGGGAACUUGAGUGCAGAAGAGGAGAGUGGAAUUCCACGUGUAGCGGUGAAAUGCGUAGAGAUGUGGAGGAACACCAGUGGCGAAGGCGACUCUCUGGUCUGUAACUGACGCUGAGGAGCGAAAGCGUGGGGAGCGAACAGGAUUAGAUACCCUGGUAGUCCACGCCGUAAACGAUGAGUGCUAAGUGUUAGGGGGUUUCCGCCCCUUAGUGCUGCAGCUAACGCAUUAAGCACUCCGCCUGGGGAGUACGGUCGCAAGACUGAAACUCAAAGGAAUUGACGGGGGCCCGCACAAGCGGUGGAGCAUGUGGUUUAAUUCGAAGCAACGCGAAGAACCUUACCAGGUCUUGACAUCCUCUGACAAUCCUAGAGAUAGGACGUCCCCUUCGGGGGCAGAGUGACAGGUGGUGCAUGGUUGUCGUCAGCUCGUGUCGUGAGAUGUUGGGUUAAGUCCCGCAACGAGCGCAACCCUUGAUCUUAGUUGCCAGCAUUCAGUUGGGCACUCUAAGGUGACUGCCGGUGACAAACCGGAGGAAGGUGGGGAUGACGUCAAAUCAUCAUGCCCCUUAUGACCUGGGCUACACACGUGCUACAAUGGACAGAACAAAGGGCAGCGAAACCGCGAGGUUAAGCCAAUCCCACAAAUCUGUUCUCAGUUCGGAUCGCAGUCUGCAACUCGACUGCGUGAAGCUGGAAUCGCUAGUAAUCGCGGAUCAGCAUGCCGCGGUGAAUA